GAUUGGUGACACUUUUUGUAGAACCCAUGUUGUAUACAGUUUUCCUUUACUCAGUACAAUCUUUUCAUUUUUUUUAAUUCAAACUGUUUUGUUCAGAAUGGGCUAAAGUGUUGAAUUGCAUUCUUGUGUAAUAUCCCCUUGCUCCUAACAUCUACAUUCCCCUCAUGUCUUUGGUAACUUGUAUUUUAAGUGAUGUCAUAGACAGGAUUGUUUAAAUUUAGUUAAUUUCCAUGCUCUUCAGACUGUGAUAUUGUGUAAAUGUCUAUUCUGCUCUGGUUUGUGUGAACUGGGAUGUUGGGGGUGUUUGUGGUUAUCUUACCUGGGGAAGUUCUUAUGUUUAUCUUGCUUUUCAUGUGUCUUUCUGUAGACAUAUCUGAAGAGAUGGAUUAAGAAUGCUUUGGAUUAAGGAUUGUGGAGCACAUUUCAAUCAUUUUAGGAUUGUCAAAAGGAGGAUUGAGGAGGAUCAGAUCAAUAAUGGAGGCAAUGGUAUGACUCCAAGUGCUAUUGUCACAGAUGAAAUUGGC
rnacentral:lncRNA from 1 species